GGGGAUGUAGCUCACUUGGUAGAGUGCUUGCCUUGCAUGCACAAGAUCCUGGGUUCAAUCCCCAGCAUCCCCC